rnacentral:rRNA from 1 species
AGAGCGAACGCUGGCGGCAGGCCUAACACAUGCAAGUCGAGCGGUAAGGCCCCUUCGGGGGUACACGAGCGGCGGACGGCUGAGUAACACGUAGGAACGUACCCCAAACUGAGGGAUAAGCACCAGAAAUGGUGUCUAAUACCGCAUGUGAUCUUCGGAUUAAAGCUUCGGCGGUUUGGGAACGGCCUGCGCAUGAUUAGCUUGUUGGUGAGGUAAUAGCUCACCAAGGCGACGAUCAUUAGCUGGUCUGAGAGGAUGAUCAGCCAGACUGGGACUGAGAACGGCCCAGACUCCUACGGGAGGCAGCAGUAGGGAAUUUUCCACAAUGGGCGAAAGCCUGAUGGAGCAACGCCGCGUGCAGGACGAAGGCCUUCGGGUUGUAAACUGCUUUUAUAUGUGACGAUUAUGACGGUAGCAUAUGAAUAAGGAUCGGCUAACUCCGUGCCAGCAGCCGC